GCUCUAUAAAAGGAAAUUUUAUUCAUGCUGAAAGAGGCUAGAAAAAUGUCUAAAAUUGCACAAAGUUUGAAUGAAGAAGGAAACUGCCUUUAAAGGCAGGAAGGUGAGAAGUGGCAUAAGUUUAAGUUGUAGUACUAGAAGAAGUAUGAUAAGAAGUCAAGUCGUGAUACUAGUAGUCAUGUCAGCAGUAGAAGUAGAUUGAGAAUAAAAGAAGUAUAAGUCAAAGUAGUAAAGAAAGUAGAAAUAGUAGCAAUAGCAGCAGUAGAGAAAGUAGAAAUAGGAGCAAUAGCAGUUGAAGUAGAGGGGAAAGUUCUAGUUUAAUUGACAUAAGUAGUUGUAGUACUAGAGGUAGGAUUUUGUUUGAAGGACGGAUUAAUGCAUAAAUAUUAAAAAUAAUAUAAAACAGGGAAAAUUUUAUUAAUUAAAAAUCCUCAAGUAUCAGACAGUUUUUAAGUAUUAGAAAGGUUUGAAUCAUUUUGAAUGAGUUUAAAUUAGUUUGAAAAAUUAAAUGAUAAAUUAUCACUGAGUGACUUUAAAAUGUGAAACAUUUAAAUGAAUAUAAAUCCUAAAUACACCCCAUAAUGUCCUCAAUGAGCUUAAAUUUUAAAGCCCUGAAUGGUUUCUGUAGGUCAAAGGUCAUGUGAGGAGAUAGGGGCUGAAGGUUUUUCAAGCGCUCUAGGAAAGGGUUUUAAGUGUCAUCCCCAGUGCUAUGUGUACUGAGCCUGGCUUCAUGUGUCUCAUAUGGCCAUUAGAAGCAGCUUUCCAGUCAGCUGUGUGUCUCCAGGUGCACAAAUUGGUUGCCAUGGGGACCUUGGAUGAAUAACUAUAGCAGGAGAAAGAAGGCUUGAAGCUAAGGAAACAGGACUCCAAGUAGGCCCUGACGCUCAUCCUCUGUAUAAAUUCAUAAGGAGCUUGUGAGAACACAAGAUUUUGCUGAACACAUUAAUACAAUUUAUUAUCACAAUCCUCAAAACACCCCAUAAUAUCUUCAAUGAGCUGAAUUUUUCAAGCCCAGAAUGGUUUCUGUAGCUCAAAGUUUGUGGGUGGAGAUAGGUGGUGAAGCAGACACAUAUUAUCUGUGUGUACAAGCAGGUGAACUGCAAGGUAGACCUGACAAUGCAACAAGUACAAGAAUGUGUGUGUGUGUGUGUGUCUCAUUAAUGACUGCAUCCCUAACAGCUGUGAGAUCAAAGGCAAAUCACUGACCUACUGUUUGAAUGACAAGCAGCUGAACAGCAGAGGAUUUGAAGCCUGUGAACUUCUUCACAUAGCGUGAUUUCCUUAAGUCCCAGAAUGAAAAUAAGAACAUCGUACGAAUCCUCCGUCCUUCAUGAACACAAUGAUGUGUUUUUCAUGUCUGUACUCCGAAAAAUGUGGCCACAACAGCGAGUUAAAAAAGUCUGAGCCUGAGUGACGAUAAGGAUUUUCUUGGAGAAGAAAUACAUUAGGGCCAAUGGGGAGAUAUUUGCGCCUAUCUGGACAGUUGGUCACCUGCUGGCCAAGGGGUACGAUUUAAUGAUUUGAAACCUCUUUUGUGAGAAGCAGGACACAUAUACCUCCAUUUUGAUGUAUUAUUUGUGUCAGUGGAGUGAGAUUUGUGGGCGUGGGAGCGAUAUAUUCGAGCGAGGUUCUGUCGAUCAGAGACGAGGUCUGCACUCUAGCUGAUGACAUCAUCACUCUAAACUCUCCAAUACACACCCAUUAUAAAGCUUGAAAUUUGCUGAAAACCACAAGUUGCAUAAAGCUAAAUUGUGGAAAAACUGUAAAAGAUAUCAAAAAACUGAGUACAACUAUAAUAGUCGACAAGUGAAUGAACAUUUUAAAGCAAAAAUGAGGUCUCUAGGUGAAAGUAUGCUGAAGUUAUAAGGUCUAGAAGGUGGAAGAAUGAAAGGAAGAAGUUGAAGAUUUCCCCAUUGACUUCAAUGUUAAAAUUUUUGCACAAAAAGUUAAAAAAAACAAAAAGUAUAAAGGGUAGAAAGAAAAAAAAUGGAAGCCAUCAUGUCCUGAAGGAGUGGAAUAGUUUAAAGUUUGAAUGGUUGAAAUCGGACAAAGUUUGAAGGAGGAGAAGCGGUCCAAAAAAGGGACGGAAGAAUAAUAAUAAUAAUAAUAAAGAAAAAUGGCCGACAGGAAUAACAAUAAGUGGAAAUGCCUAUCAGCAUUUCCACUUAACUAGAAAAAUUGCAUUUCCUUGCAGAAAAUGCGUGGAAAUGCUGAGUGCUGAAAGCUGAAAAAGCAAUGCUAAACUGCUAAUAAAACAUGGAGAAAGGUAUAAAUGUUAAAGCUGUUGAAGGGGUGAAAAAGAAAUAUAAGUUGGAUAAUAGUUUAAUUGGUUGAAGGACAAAUAGUAUGAAUAUGCUCUAUAAAAGGAAAUUUUAUUCAUGCUGAAAGAGGCUAGAAAAAUGUCUAAAAUUGCACAAAGUUUGAAUGAAGAAGGAAACUGCCUUUAAAGGCAGGAAGGUGAGAAGUG